rnacentral:rRNA from 1 species
AUGCGGCACGGACUACAAGAAAAAGUAGGCGCAGAAAGUGCACACGAUCGCGGUGGACUUGUUAAUCCUCGUCUCCCGGAGACGUGGAUUGCUUCAGGAAGGAUCGGCCGGAGACGUGGAGGUCGCACGUGGCAGCACCACCAGCCCAAUUCAACACUCCCUUGCCCAGCUGCCGCACCGCCACCGCCGCGGACACUCCUACUCGCCUCCCCAGCAAGCCACGCGCGCGUGCUCACUGCUCAGCUCGCAGACCCAGCCAUGGCGACGCCGACUCCGACCCCCACCUCGCCCGCUUCCAUCCGGGCGUCAGGCGGCCCUGGCGCUGGCGACCGAUGGGUGGUCCGCGCCCAGCCGGCGGCGGCCGAGCUGGUGGAGCGGUCGGUGACCACCAUCCGGUUCCUGGCCGUGGACGCGGUGGAGAAGGCCAAGUCCGGCCACCCGGGGCUCCCAAUGGGGUGCGCGCCGCUGGGCCACGUCCUCUUCGACGAGUUCCUCCGCUUCAACCCGGCCAACCACGCCUGGUUCGACCGCGACCGCUUCGUGCUCUCCGCCGGCCACGGCUGCAUGCUCCACUACGCGCUGCUCCACCUCGCCGGAUACCAAGGCGUCACGAUAGAUGACCUGAAAGCUUUCCGGCAGUGGGGGAGCAGAACUCCUGGUCAUCCAGAAAAUUUUGAAACAGAAAUCCUGAGGAGUACAAGGAGAGGUCCUACCAAGCGAUGUUACUUCCAGGAUUAG